UACGUAGGAGGCAAGCGUUGUCCGGAAUCACUGGGCGUAAAGCGCGUGUAGGCGGAUCGCUAAGUCUGUGGUGAAAGCGCCUGGCUUAACCGGGCGAGGUCCAUGGAAACUAGCGGUCUGGAGGCCGGUAGAGGGGGGUGGAAUUCCGGGUGUAGUGGUGAAAUGCGUAGAGAUCCGGAGGAACACCAGUGGCGAAGGCGGCCCCCUGGGCCGCGCCUGACGCUGAGGUGCGAAAGCGUGGGGAGCAAACAGGAUUGAGAU
rnacentral:rRNA from 1 species